GCUUCCUGCUUCCUGCUUCAGACUGCAGACCAGGGCUUGGACUUGGCUGUGUUCCUCUGCUGAAGGUUACAGCUACUGCUGCACAGCUGUCUUUGUACAGAUCUCCCCAGAUAAAGCCACAAUGUAAGGUUCCAGGUGGCCACACUUAUUUGGAGACACCAUUUAACACGGUUCUGCUUCUACUUCCAUGAGAACCUAGUGAAGAAGACACAGCCAGAGCUUUGAUCAAAGAUUCCAAAUGCAAAUACAACUAACCACCCAACUGGUCCCAUCAGCCAAUGUAUCUCUUUGUUACCUCAAGGGAGAUUGAUUUACGCUUUCAUCAAUAAAUCUUCAUAUUUUCAA
ensembl:lincRNA 1700023F02Rik RIKEN cDNA 1700023F02 gene